rnacentral:rRNA from 1 species
UACGAAGGGGGCUAGCGUUGCUCGGAAUCACUGGGCGUAAAGCGCGCGUAGGCGGAUCGUUAAGUCGGGGGUGAAAUCCUGGAGCUCAACUCCAGAACUGCCUUUGAUACUGGCGAUCUUGAGUCCGGGAGAGGUGAGUGGAACUCCGAGUGUAGAGGUGAAAUUCGUAGAUAUUCGGAAGAACACCAGUGGCGAAGGCGGCUCACUGGUCCGGUACUGACGCUGAGGUGCGAAAGCGUGGGGAGCAAACAGG